ACUCCUACGGGAGGCAGCAGUGGGGAAUAUUGCACAAUGGGCGCAAGCCUGAUGCAGCCAUGCCGCGUGUGUGAAGAAGGCCUUCGGGUUGUAAAGCACUUUCAGUCGUGAUUUGGAAGGUAGUGUAGUUAAUAGCUGCAUUAUUUGACGUUAGCGACAGAAGAAGCACCGGCUAACUCCGUGCCAGCAGCCGCGGUAAUACGGAGGGUGCGAGCGUUAAUCGGAAUUACUGGGCGUAAAGCGCAUGCAGGUGGUUUGUUAAGUCAGAUGUGAAAGCCCGGGGCUCAACCUCGGAAUUGCAUUUGAAACUGGCAGACUAGAGUACUGUAGAGGGGGGUAGAAUUUCAGGUGUAGCGGUGAAAUGCGUAGAGAUCUGAAGGAAUACCGGUGGCGAAGGCGGCCCCCUGGACAGAUACUGACACUCAGAUGCGAAAGCGUGGGGAGCAAACAGGAUUAGAUACCCUGGUAGCUACGAGU
rnacentral:rRNA from 1 species